UACGUAGGGGGCGAGCGUUGUCCGGAUUCAUUGGGCGUAAAGAGCUCGUAGGCGGCUUGGCAAGUCGGAUGUGAAAACUCCAGGCUCAACCUGGAGCCGCCAUUCGAUACUGCCAUGGCUAGAGUCUGGUAGGGGAUCACGGAAUACCUGGUGUAGCGGUGAAAUGCGCAGAUAUCAGGUGGAACACCGAUGGCGAAGGCAGUGAUCUGGGCCAGUACUGACGCUGAGGAGCGAAAGCGUGGGGAGCAAACAGG
rnacentral:rRNA from 1 species